rnacentral:piRNA from 1 species
UCCCAGCGAUAGCAAGGUCUCUGAGGU